UUUAUACUAUGUUUGAUUAGAAUAAUUUCAUAAUUGACUUCUGAUAAUUUUAUGCAAAGGAGGUACGAAUUCUUAGAUUAUGAAAGACUCGAAAUGUUCGACUGUAAAAGAUUGGAGAGUUGUACCAAAAGUACAAGGUCCAACUCUACAAAGGGUGGCUAGAGCACCAUAAAGACACUAAGGAAGAGCUUGAUCUUUGGAUCCAGAACUGUCCCUUGAGUCAGUGAGAGGGGCUGGUU
rnacentral:lncRNA from 1 species